rnacentral:piRNA from 1 species
UUUGGAAAUGGACAAGGUAGAAGGG